CGCGUCUAGAGAUAGGCGUUCCCUUGUGGCCUGUGUGCAGGUGGUGCAUGGCUGUCGUCAGCUCGUGUCGUGAGAUGUUGGGUUAAGUCCCGCAACGAGCGCAACCCUUGUCUCAUGUUGCCAGCGGGUAAUGCCGGGGACUCGUGAGAGACUGCCGGGGUCAACUCGGAGGAAGGUGGGGAUGACGUCAAGUCAUCAUGCCCCUUAUGUCCAGGGCUUCACACAUGCUACAAUGGCCGGUACAAAGGGCUGCGAUGCCGUAAGGUUAAGCGAAUCCUUUUAAAGCCGGUCUCAGUUCGGAUUGGGGUCUGCAACUCGACCCCAUGAAGUCGGAGUCGCUAGUAAUCGCAAAUCAGCAACGCUGCGGUGAAUACGUUCCCGGGCCUUGUACACACG
rnacentral:rRNA from 1 species